rnacentral:tRNA from 1 species
UGAAGCGUAGCAUAAAUUUAAUGUUUUUCACUUACACUGAAAUGAUGGCUAGGGUUAGUCCGCUUUAA